rnacentral:rRNA from 1 species
UUGGAGGGCAAGUCUGGUGCCAGCAGCCGCGGUAAUUCCAGCUCCAAUAGCGUAUAUUAAAGUUGUUGCAGUUAAAAAGCUCGUAGUUGAAUUUCGGGGUCAGUAGGUUGGUCGUGCCACUGGUAUGCACUGGUCUCACUGAUUCCUCCUUCCUGAUGAGCCGUAAUGCCAUUAAUUUGGUGUUGCGGGGAAUCUGGACUGUUACUUUGAAAAAAUUAGAGUGUUUAAAGCAGGCUAACGCUUGAAUACAUUAGCAUGGAAUAAUGAAAUAGGACGAUCGAUCCUAUUUUGUUGGUUUCUAGGAUUGACGUAGUGAUUAAUAGGGAUAGUUGGGGGCAUUAGUAUUCAAUUGUCAGAGGUGAAAUUCUUGGAUUUAUUGAAGACUAACUACUGCGAAAGCAUUUGCCAAGGAUGUUUUCAUUAAUCAAGAACGAAAGUUAGGGGAUCGAAGACGAUCAGAUACCGUCGUAGUCUUAACCAUAAACUAUGCCGACUAGGGAUCGGAUGAUGUUAAUUUUUUAAUGACUCAUUCGGCGCCUUACGGGAAA